UACGGGGGGGGCAAGCGUUGUUCGGAAUUACUGGGCGUAAAGGGCCAGUAGGCGGCCAACUAAGUCGGAUGUGAAAUCCCCAGGCUUAACCUGGGAACUGCAUCCGAUACUGGAUGGCUUGAAUUCGGGAGAGGGAUGCAGAAUUCCAGGUGUAGCGGUGAAAUGCGUAGAUAUCUGGAGGAAUGCCGGUGGCGAAGGCGGCAUCCUGGACCGACAUUGACGCUGAACGGCGAAAGCUAGGGGAGCAAACGGG
rnacentral:rRNA from 1 species